GUUACCCCGUGGGGGAAGUUGAAAAGAACUUUGAAGAGAGAGUUCAAGAGUACGUGAAACCGCUCAGGGGUAAACGGAAAAGACCCGAAACACCGAAAAGGGAGAUUCACGUCUUCUCGCGGGUGCCGGCCCUCGGCCGGGGGAUGGCCUCGCGCCCCGUCCGGUUCGUCCGUGGCGGUGGGCGGGCUGCCCCCAUCGAGGUGUCCGGUCCCGCGGGGGACCGCACUUCUCCCCCAGUAGGACGUCGCGACCCGCUCUGCGGCGGUCUAACGGCCGGUAGAAAGCCUGCUCGGGGCCCUCCCUUCGGGGUUGUCUCCCGGGCAGAUCUCCGGACCCGCGGCCGCCGGUCCGGGCGGUAUGAACGACUGUAGCGAUGGGCCGCUCCUAGAGAGCGCCGACGUCUCCCCGCAAGCUCGGGUCGGGCUGUCGGGUCGUAUUCUCACGGGUACGCUCGGCGCCCGCCCGGACUGUUGGCGGGUGGGUACUCAGGCCGUUGUCCAUCACGCUCGUCGGCGGCGCUUCAGAUUCGGGCACUUAUCCGACCCGUCUUGAAACACGGAAAAGGGGAAGUCU
rnacentral:rRNA from 1 species